AGAUUGAACGCUGGCGGCAGGCUUAACACAUGCAAGUCGAGCGGUAACAGGGGGAGCUUGCUCCCCGCUGACGAGCGGCGGACGGGUGAGUAAUGCAUAGGAAACUGCCCAGUAGUGGGGGAUAGCCCGGGGAAACCCGGAUUAAUACCGCAUACGCCCUUCGGGGGAAAGCAGGGGAUCUUCGGACCUUGCGCUAUUGGAUGUGCCUAUGUCGGAUUAGCUAGUUGGUGGGGUAAGAGCCUACCAAGGCGACGAUCCGUAGCUGGUCUGAGAGGAUGAUCAGCCACAUCGGGACUGAGACACGGCCCGAACUCCUACGGGAGGCAGCAGUGGGGAAUAUUGGACAAUGGGGGCAACCCUGAUCCAGCCAUGCCGCGUGUGUGAAGAAGGCUUUCGGGUUGUAAAGCACUUUCAGUGAGGAGGAAAACCUUACGACUAAUACUCGUGAGGCUUGACGUUACUCACAGAAGAAGCACCGGCUAACUCCGUGCCAGCAGCCGCGGUAAUACGGAGGGUGCAAGCGUUAAUCGGAAUUACUGGGCGUAAAGCGCGCGUAGGUGGUUUGAUAAGCGAGAUGUGAAAGCCCCGGGCUCAACCUGGGAACGGCAUUUCGAACUGUCAGGCUAGAGUAUGGUAGAGGAGUGUGGAAUUUCCUGUGUAGCGGUGAAAUGCGUAGAUAUAGGAAGGAACACCAGUGGCGAAGGCGGCACUCUGGACCAAUACUGACACUGAGGUGCGAAAGCGUGGGGAACAAACAGGAUUAGAUACCCUGGUAGUCCACGCUGUAAACGAUGUCAACUAGCCGUUGGGACUCUUGAAGUCUUAGUGGCGCAGCUAACGCACUAAGUUGACCGCCUGGGGAGUACGGCCGCAAGGUUAAAACUCAAAUGAAUUGACGGGGGCCCGCACAAGCGGUG
rnacentral:rRNA from 1 species